AACGGUCUAUACCUGCGGUACCUGCGGAGGGAUCAUUAACAAAUCGUUUGUAUGGCUUCGGCCAUACAUAUUCACCCUAGCCUGCUAGUCAGGCUUUGGUUCGGCCAGUACUUGUACUGGUCACAUAGACGCUUGUAUGUUUGACAGAGUAUAGUUGCAUCAAAAAAUGACAACUUUCAGCAAUGGAUCUCU
rnacentral:misc_RNA from 1 species